GGCCAUGGGGUAAGAAAGAGCAAUAGCUCAUUCCACUGUCCUGUCAGUGACCUCAUCUCUGACCCUCAAUCCCUAGAGAGAUUGGGACUGAACCUGUGAUUCUGUUGGUAUGGGGAACUCUGGAAGGAUGAAACCCUCUUCCCAAUGCAGGCUACCCCAUCAAACAGCCCAGAGCCAAAAAUACCCACCAAGAAGAUUGCUGUGCCUGGGCCUUUUCUGCUUGCAAAGAGAGCAGCCUACAAGCUUCCUUGCAUGCAGUAGAAUGUUGUCUGUCUGCCAGUUAAAUGGUUCUGUCUCCACCAACUGAUUUAGGCACCAUUUUCCCAGCUUCACGGAGAAGCAUGUAGCAAUCUCUCUCUGGGAAAGAAGAGAGACAGUGAAAAAGCUCUGGCUGCUAUUCUCCUAAUUUUCUUUCCCUAAUCCCUUCCCCUGUUCAGAGAGAGAUAAUCUUUGUUUAUCUUUCUUGAUCUUUCUGAAUCUCUCUAAUACAUUUCCAUAAAAGCUUUGAUGUUUUUUCCCCCUGACACCAAUUUCCACAUCUUUCUUUUAAAGCGGUAACUUGGAAUUUUUAAAUUUCAUUUUCUUAAGUUAAAGAGCAUCAGAGUGUCGAAAUGGAUACAGCACUGGACCUGGAGGCAGGAAGACCUGAAUUCAAAUCCAACCUCAGAUACUUCCUAGCCCUGUGAUCCUGGGAGUUGCUAAGAAGAGAAUGAGUUGGAAACUCCAUGCCUCAGGUUGGUGCCAUCCAUAAAGCCAAGAUAAUACAUAAACAGCUAAACAGCUAGUGGGACAACUAGGACAGAAAUGGCAGAAAACGUGACAGCCAAGAGAAGAAGCAAGAAUGGAGAGAACCCUGGAUAAUGGCACCGAGAUACCAUCGUGAAUGUUAUUCCCUGGCUGUUAUACAUGACUGGGAGACCCCAGUUGGUUAUGUCCUAUGAGAACCCAUAUCCUCUGUACCUCCUGAAGAGAAAUAUAUGGGGAAGAAUGUCUACAUAGGGGAGCCAGCAGGAUCCUACAGUAACUAGAUAGCCAAAACCUCAUUUGUGGCUAAUCCUUCAUUCUCACUGCAGCAGGGGGAAGGAAAAGUUUGAGUCCACACCUAAACUGUUUCUUUUCUUGAACUCCUAGGCUUGGGGACGUGUUCAGACUGCUUUCAGUUGCCUAGGUUUGGGAACAUCUGUCCUUGUGCCAUCUGUACUGUAGUUUUAAAAAUACAGUUAACUUUAUUUCUUUUGUUUUACUGGUCAUGAGCAAAUUCAUGCUUAUGCAGUCAAUUCAUGCUUGCGUGAACUGACUCAAUGAUGCCAUGCUCAUAUGAUUUGAGUCUAUUGAAAUAUAGCAUGGAAGGGAAGAGGGUGGAGUCUCCUAGCCAGGGGCUGAAUCAAGAAACUAAUUGUAUAAAUCCAUGCAGAUCACAGCCGUAGAUUAAUGAGAUGAUGAUGGCCAUCUCAUAAAGUUUACAGCAAAAGCUCAGGACCUCAGAUUGCCAGAAACUCCCAGGGGAAGACAAUUUUUAAACCAAGGCUAGGGUCCACAAAGUCCUUGGCUUAGCUCCACUUACUAGCCCUGUAUCUACUUCCCCCCCCCCCGUUUCCCCCCCACACACAUACCAUUCCCAUUCAAUUAUAAUGGAUAAUUGAGUUUUGAUUGCAUCAUGAUUUCAGUUAUUCUUUUUGGAAGCCAGUGAUGUUAGAUUUCCUAAUCUGUGUUAAAAUACCCCAUUGCUAAGCUGUUCACAAAGGGAAUUAAACAUGUCCUUUGAGCUGUCUCAUGCUUGUUCAUAGAGGCUCCUUUUUUCUCCGUUAGCCUGGCUUACAUUGUCUGUAGCACCUCUUAUACACUC